rnacentral:rRNA from 1 species
UACGAAGGGGGCUAGCGUUGCUCGGAAUCACUGGGCGUAAAGGGUGCGUAGGCGGGUCUUUAAGUCAGGGGUGAAAUCCUGGAGCUCAACUCCAGAACUGCCUUUGAUACUGAGGAUCUUGAGUUCGGGAGAGGUGAGUGGAACUGCGAGUGUAGAGGUGAAAUUCGUAGAUAUUCGCAAGAACACCAGUGGAGAAGGCGGCUUACUGGUCCGGUUCUGACGCUGAGGCGCGAAAGCGUGGGGAGCAAACAGG